rnacentral:rRNA from 1 species
AGUGAACGCUGGCGGUAGGCCUAACACAUGCAAGUCGAACGGCAGCACAGUAAGAGCUUGCCCUUACGGGUGGCGAGUGGCGGACGGGUGAGGAAUACAUCGGAAUCUACUUUUUCGUGGGGGAUAACGUAGGGAAACUUACGCUAAUACCUCAUACGACCUACGGGUGAAAGCAGGGGAUCUUCGGACCUUGCGCGUUUGAAUGAGCCGAUGUCGGAUUAGCUAGUUGGCGGGGUAAAGGCCCACCAAGGCGACGAUCCGUAGCUGGUCUGAGAGGAUGAUCGGCCACACUGGAACUGAGACACGGUCCAGACUCCUACGGGAGGCAGCAGUGGGGAAUAUUGGACAAUGGGCGCAAGCCUGAUCCAGCCAUACCGCGUGAGUGAAGAAGGCCUUCGGGUUGUAAAGCCCUUUUGUUGGGAAAGAAAAGCAGCAGGUUAAUACCCCGCUGUUCUGACGGUACCCAAAGAAUAAGCACCGGCUAACUUCGUG